rnacentral:rRNA from 1 species
CAGCACCUCAAGUGGUCAGGAUGAUUAUUGGGCCUAAAGCAUCCGUAGCCGGCGCUGUAAGUUUUCGGUUAAAUCUGUACGCUCAACGUACGGGCUGCCGGGAAUACUGCAGCGCUAGGGAGUGGGAGAGGUAGACGGUACUCGGUAGGAAGGGGUAAAAUCCUUUGAUCUAUUGAUGACCACCUGUGGCGAAGGCGGUCUACCAGAACACGUCCGACGGUGAGGGAUGAAAGCUGGGGGAGCAAACCGGAUUAGAUACCCGAGUAGUCC